CCUACGGGUGGCAGCAGUGGGGAAUAUUGCACAAUGGGGGGAACCCUGAUGCAGCGACGCCGCGUGAGUGAAGAAGUAUUUCGGUAUGUAAAGCUCUAUCAGCAGGGAAGAAAAUGACGGUACCUGACUAAGCAUCCCCGGCUAACUACGUGCCAGCAGCCGCGGUAAUACGUAGGGGGCAAGCGUUAUCCGGAUUUACUGGGUGGAAAGGGAGCGCAGACGGCUGUGCAAGUCUGGAGUGAAAGGCGGGGGCCCAACCCCCGGACUGCUCUGGAAACUGUAAAGCUGGAGUGCAGGAGAGGUAAGCGGAAUUCCUAGUGUAGCGGUGAAAGGCGUAGAUAUUAGGAGGAACACCAGUGGCGAAGGCGGCUUACUGGACUGCAACUGACGUUGAGGCUCGAAAGCGUGGGGAGCAAACAGGAUUAGAUACCCCAGUAGUC
rnacentral:rRNA from 1 species